GUGCCGCGGUCGCCGCCGUUGCCGCCGUUGCCGCCGUUGGGGUUGGCGGCGCUGACGCCGUUGGCGCCGGUGCCCCCGGUGCCGCCGGCUGCGGCGUU
rnacentral:tRNA from 2 species